rnacentral:lncRNA from 1 species
AUGAAGCCCCCCGGUGGCUCCCCCCGGGCCGCCCCCCCCCCCGGGCCCCCCCCUGAUACCCCCGGCGACCACCUCAAAAAGGCCGAGGGCCCCGAGGCCCGUACCCACCCCCUGGCCCGCGCCGCCGCCCCCGCAACCACCCACCCGCUCGUCACCCCAGCCUACGCCCCACUGCAGCCGCCCCAGUUCCUGCAGCAGCCGCCGAAGCCGAUCCAGCAGCAGUUUGUCAUCCAGCAGCAGCAGCUAGCGCCCCGCGGGCAGCCCCCCCCCGGGGCCGGCCGCCCCCCAGCUCCAGCCGCUGCCCCCCGCCAGCCCCGGCCCGGUGCCCCCACCCAAAGCGGGGGCCAGCCCGGGGGUCCCCCACGGUGCCGGGGCUGAUGGCGCUGCCCCCAACGGGCACCCCGGCUGCCACGGGGCCCCUCGCAAGUUCCAGCACGCCUCCGCCGUCAUCCUGCAGCUGCAGCCCGCCGGUGCCACGGUGAGGGCCCCCCACCCCCCGGUCCCCCGGUGCCCCCUGCCCGGCUGGCGAGA